AGUUAAUAAGCUCAUAAGCACUAUGUUUUGAAAACAUAAGAAAGAAGUUUAAAUCUUCUAUUAACUU
rnacentral:tRNA from 1 species